rnacentral:lncRNA from 12 species
CCCAGAGGGAGCAGAACAAGCCCAUGGCAGCGGAUCUUUCGUGCUGAUGGGGCGAGAUACAGGAAGCUGUGGCCCAGGCCCUGCUGGUCUCAGAACAAAUAUGUGUAAAUAUAUUUGCUGAAAACCUAUGAGGAUCCCUGACCCUCGGUGGGGGUGUGUUCCCGUAGGGACUCAGCAUGUUCUGUGGGGUUCUUUGGUUCUCGUUUUCAGUUUCUUGCUAAAAUAGCACCCUCGUUGAGAGUCCUAGGUAAUAUGGUGUGAGGACGGUGGACAUGCAUGUCUGGAUGGAGAAGUGUCUGCUAGUUAAGCUUCCUUUUGGUCUGUGGAGUCCUGAGUCUUGGGGUGCGGGUGUUGGAAAGGGGCACAAGCUCCCUGGUUGCACUUGGAGAGCGGACACCUGGUAUGGAUGCCAGUUCACACCCUUUACAAAGCCCUUUGACUCAUAUCCUUAGUCCCUCCGGAAUCUGUGAGACCAGAGGGAGGGCCUGUUACUGUGGCUGCUGACGGGUCACGUGGUGCUUGGGAAUCCACCAACUGGCCCGUGGGUUUGGUUACUCCAUCCCUGGGAAGAGCACCUGGCUCCUUUGCUUUAGAUUUCUGGUCUCCUUCCUCCAUUUCUGCAUCUCACCUCCCUUUCUUCUCUCUUAUGCCCUCCUUCUCCCUCUCACCUUUCCCUUUUAUCCUUGAUUCAGAGCAGAGAUAACAAUAGCUCUACUUGUUCAUGUACAAAAAUAGCUCACUUGUCAGAGCUGCAUGGGGACCGGUGCCACAGAAACUCUGUGAGUGGAAGAACGGUUCAGAGCAUUGUCUUGGGGUUUAGCAUGCUUCGUGGCCAUAGUCAUCUCCAGCUCACACCCCAUCCCCGGGAGGAUGGGGUGCUGGUGGCAAUGUGUCUAUCAUCACGUGUCUCCGGUACCCGCGGAUGGAUAUCUCACCUGCUGCUGCCCAGAGGAGGGAGGUCAUAAGCUUCCGUGGGUCCUUCGGAAUGAAGCAAAGCCUACCUGCAUCUUUUCUGCCAGUGCACAGUGCCCUCCUGGGGGUGUCAGUGUUCUAAUUACAUCGCCCCAGGAAAAUACACAGGGAGAAAAUGCAGCAAGACACACGAGAUGGUGAAACACUCUGGUUCCUGUGAGGAGCCUGCUAAGAUUCGGUAGGUCGUGUAGCAUUACUGGAAGUAGUCAUACUUUUCCUGAGUGACUUUCUUCUUUUUCUAAAUCUCUUGGUCUCUGUGAAUCAUGUCACCGAUCAUGUUUCCCUUUUUGCUCUGGCUACUAGAAAGCUCAAGAUCAUAAUGUUGUGGCUCAUCUCUAACAAGCAUCCAGCCCGGGGUGUGCGCGUGUGUCUGUAUACUGGGCUCAUUCUUUAGUCCAUUCUACAUUUUUUUCCUACACUCACUUUACAUUGUCCUGGUAGGUUCACUUAUUUAUUUUUUCACACAAAAGAAAUUUAUUUCUUGUUCAUACAGUUGUUGAUUGCAGGUAUCUGGCAGUCGGCCUUCUGUGAAGGAAUUUGGGACCCAUGGUGGUUAUUGAUCUACCAUCCUCUAGGACCUCCCACCUAGAGGAGCACAUGUGUGAAGAGAGAACAAAGGAGCCUGCAGGAGACUUCCUGGUGUAGGCCUGGAAGUUCUGUACCUCACUUCUGCUUGUGUUCCAGAAUGUGGUGACAUGACCGUGCUGAAUAGGAAGGGAGCUGAGAAAUGUGGUAGAAUUCUGUGUCUGGGAAGAAAGGAAAAUGACUGUGGUGAAUGGCCAAUACUUGUCAUCUAGCAUGAUGAGAAGUGAGGUAUAAAGGAAACGGCUUGCUUGUGUUCCCUAAGUUAUUUCUGCUAAGAACAUUAGAGUUGUUGAUGUCGGAGGAAAUAACCAUUAAUUGUUCAGCACAGAAUCCGAGGGCAACUGGGGCAUUUUCUCUUUGUGACACCUUGCCUUUGUGUCCCUUCUU